CCUACGGGCGGCAGCAGUGAGGAAUCUUGGUCAAUGGGCGCGAGCCUGAACCAGCCAAGUCGCGUGAGGGAAGACGGUCCUAUGGAUUGUAAACCUCUUUUGUCGGGGAGCAAAAGACGCCACGCGUGGCGUUCCGAGAGUACCCGAAGAAAAAGCAUCGGCUAACUCCGUGCCAGCAGCCGCGGUAAUACGGAGGAUGCGAGCGUUAUCCGGAUUGAUUGGGUUUAAGGGGUGCGCAGGCGGAAGAUCAAGUCAGCGGUAAAAUUGAGAGGCUCAACCUCUUCGAGCCGUUGAAACUGGUUAUCUUGAGUGAGUGAGAGGUAUGCGGAAUGCGUGGUGUAGCGGUGAAAUGCAUAGAGAUAACGCAGAACUCCAAUUGCGAAGGCAGCAUACCGGCGCUCAACUGACGCUCAUGCACGAAAGUGUGGGUAUCGAACAGGAUUAGAUACCCUGGUAGUC
rnacentral:rRNA from 1 species